AAGCUCGUAGUUGAAUUUCGGGGUUAGUAGGUUGGUCAUGCCUCUGGUAUGUACUGGUCUCACUGAUUCCUCCUUCCUUAUGAACCGUAAUGCCAUUAAUUUGGUGUUGCGGGGAAUUUGGACUGUUACUUUGAAAAAAUUAGAGUGUUUAAAGCAAGCUAACGCUUGAAUACAUUAGCAUGGAAUAAUGAAAUAGGACGUUCGAUCUUAUUUUGUUUGGUUUUCUUAGGAUUGACGUAAUGAUUAAUAGGGAUAGUUGGG
rnacentral:rRNA from 1 species